GAAGCGUGGACGCCAGUCUGCGUGGAGCCAACCUUGAAAUACCACCCUUUAAUGUUUGAUGUUCUAACGUUGGCCCCUGACCGGGGUUGCGGACAGUGUCUGGUGGGUAGUUUGACUGGGGCGGUCUCCUCCCAAAGCGUAACGGAGGAGCACGAAGGUUAGCUAAUCCUGGUCGGACAUCAGGAGGUUAGUGCAAUGGCAUAAGCUAGCUUGACUGCGAGCGUGACGGCGCGAGCAGGUGCGAAAGCAGGUCAUAGUGAUCCGGUGGUUCUGAAUGGAAGGGCCAUCGCUCAACGGAUAAAAGGUACUCCGGGGAUAACAGGCUGAUACCGCCCAAGAGUUCAUAUCGACGGCGGUGUUUGGCACCUCGAUGUCGGCUCAUCACAUCCUGGGGCUGAAGUAGGUCCCAAGGGUAUGGCUGUUCGCCAUUUAAAGUGGUACGCGAGCUGGGUUUAGAACGUCGUGAGACAGUUCGGUCCCUAUCUGCCGUGGGCGCUGGAGAAUUGAGGGGGGCUGCUCCUAGUACGAGAGGACCGGAGUGGACGCAUCACUGGUGUUCGGGUUGUCAUGCCAAUGGCACUGCCCGGUAGCUAAAUGCGGAAGAGAUAAGUGCUGAAAGCAUCUAAGCACGAAACUUGCCCCGAGAUGAGUUCUCCCUGAGACUU
rnacentral:rRNA from 1 species